GCGGAUGUGGCGAAAUAGGCAAACGCGCUAGAUUCAGGUUCUAGUGGUAGCAAUACCUUGUGGGUUCAAGUCCCUUCAUCCGCACCA
rnacentral:tRNA from 1 species